GCGGGCAUCGUAUAGCGGUUAUUAUGGCUGCCUUCCAAGCAGCAGAGAGGAGUUCAAUUCUCCUUGCCCGCU
rnacentral:tRNA from 1 species